CAAACCAUUGUGCCAGCCUUUGUCGAAC
rnacentral:sRNA from 1 species